GCAGUAGCCGCGGGAAAACGGAGGGUGCAAGCGUUAUCCGGAUUUAUUGGGUUUAAAGGGUCCGUAGGCGGAUCUGUAAGUCAGUGGUGAAAUCUCACAGCUUAACUGUGAAACUGCCAUUGAUACUGCAGGUCUUGAGUAAAUUUGAAGUGGCUGGAAUAAGUAGUGUAGCGGUGAAAUGCAUAGAUAUUACUUAGAACACCAAUUGCGAAGGCAGGUCACUAAGAUUUAACUGACGCUGAUGGACGAAAGCGUGGGGAGCGAACAGGAUUAGAUACCCGCGUAGUCCCUGUCUCUUAUAC
rnacentral:rRNA from 1 species